UGGAUUUAUGUCCGCAAGUAACAGAGUAGGCGGGAAAGUAAAGUAAUUUUUACCAUAACAUCUAUUUUUGCUUUGGCAAUUGCACUUAUUAUAUCAACUCCCUUUCCUGUGGGCAUUUUUCUAGUUUCUUAUGUGAAGAACAAAAAUGGAAUAUUUAAGAGCAGAACUCAACUAACUUGGUAUACAUAAGAAAGAAGCAAUCACAGUCAAUGCAAAACAAAAAAUGUCAACAGUUUCCCAACUGAAAUCCUUUCCGCAAAUGAAAAUUAGAACAAAUACAUCCAUACAAUUCAAGAGAACAGUUAUGAAGAUUUCCUGCAAAAUUUCACCAAAUGUCUACAGUGCAGAGCAAUAUUAUUUCACUUAUUGGAAACACAUUUAAUGAGAUACAGGAAUUUAGCCUGCAAGUUCAGUGGCUCUUCAUGAAUGUUAAGUUCAGAUUGGACAUUAAGUAUUAACAUUUGAAGACAAAAAUAUGAAAAGAAUAUAAUCAUCUCUCCCUCAACUAGAUCUGCAAAGUGGACAUUUUUUAAAUCUCAUAAGAAUUUGGUGAAGUGAACCUUCAGUGGAUUUUCAAGGACAACUACAAAAAUGAAUACAGACCUCCACAUGGUCAAAUAGUGCUACAUGACAGAAGAUUUAUUUUAGACAGGGAUAGUUCUGUGAGUCUUCGACAAGACCGAUUUGGAGUUAGCAGAGAUUGGCACAAUCUCCAGAUGCUAUGCAGUGAUGGUAUCAUUGGAUCUGCAAUUUGGUUCAAAUAAUUGGGGAAAAGGACUGAUUCCAAAUGUAAUUCCAAAAUGUACCCUUUGGAACAAUCUACCCCCAGAGAUACGAGUGAUCUCCAACCUCCGGACUUUUCGUCGGGCCCUAAAAACUUAUUUUUUUCAGUUAGCCGGUCUGUCCUGAUUUUAUGGUUGGUUUUAAAAUUUGAUACGGAUUUUUAAAUUGAUAAGUUUUAAAUUACGGGCCAAAUUUAUUUAAUUAUUUUAAAUCU